GUUAGCAACUCAUCAAAUCCUGUACCUGAAGAAAGAUACUGUGUUCUUACGAGCAGCAAAUGGAAGAUUCUGGCGUGUUCUUCAGGAUGGUGGCUGGGUAGUUGCUGAUCGAGAGGGCACACCUGCAUCCACCGAUACUGACUGUCAGUUUGAGGUGAAGCAGAUCGACUCAAACACCUAUUCGUUCAAAUCGGUGCUGAAUGGAAAGUAUCUUGGUGGUCAUACCGUGAAAAACCUGGAAAGGGGAUUCAGAGCUUCUGAUGAUACGUCCAAGGAGAGCUUGCAAGUGACUUCUGCAGAAGAUACUGCACUCA
rnacentral:lncRNA from 1 species